UACAGAGACUGCAAGCGUUAUUCGGAUUCACUGGGCGUAAAGGGUGCGCAGGCGGCCAAGUGUGUGAGGCGUGAAAGCCCGAAGCUUAACUUCGGAAUUGCACCUCAAACUACAUGGCUAGAGCAUUGGAGAGGGUAGCGGAAUUCACGGUGUAGCAGUGAAAUGCGUAGAUAUCGUGAGGAACACCAGAGGCGAAGGCGGCUACCUGGACAAUUGCUGACGCUCAGGCACGAAAGCGUGGGGAGCAAACAGG
rnacentral:rRNA from 1 species